GCCCGCCUAGCUCAAUCGGAUAGAGCGUCAGACUUUUACGGCCUAGCGGGCAAUCCAUGCUUACAUGGUUAUCUGAAUGUUGCGGGUUCGAGUCCCGCGGUGGGCU